UUUUAUAGGUGUCAGAUCUUCCCACGUGA
rnacentral:piRNA from 1 species